rnacentral:rRNA from 1 species
UACAGAGGGCUCAAGCGUUGUUCGGAUUCAUUGGGCGUAAAGGGUGCGUAGGUGGCGGGGUAAGUCAGGUGUGAAAUUUCGGAGCUUAACUCCGAAACUGCAUUUGAUACUGCCUUGCUUGAGGACUGGAGAGGAGACUGGAAUUCACGGUGUAGCAGUGAAAUGCGUAGAGAUCGUGAGGAAGACCAGUGGCGAAGGCGGGUCUCUGGACAGUUCCUGACACUGAGGCACGAAGGCCAGGGGAGCAAACGGG